AACGAACGUUGGCGGCGUGGAUUAGGCAUGCAAGUCGAGCGAGAACCCAGCAAUGGGGGACAGCGGCGCAAGGGACAGUAAUGUGUAGAUUAUCUGCCCUCGGGUCCGGGAUAGCUGCGGGAAACUGCAGGUAAUACCGGAUAACAUCUCCGGAUCAAAGGUGUGAUUCCGCCCGAGGAUGAGUCUGCAUCCUAUUAGCUAGUUGGCAGGGUAAUGGCCUACCAAGGCGAUGAUGGGUAGCGGGUGUGAGAGCACGACCCGCGUCAUUGGGACUGAGACACUGGCCAGACACCUACGGGUGGCUGCAGGCGAGAAUCUUCGGCAAUGGGCGCAAGCCUGACCGAGCGACGCCGCGUGUGGGAUGAAGGCCUUCGGGUUGUAAACCACUGUCAGAGGGGAUGAAAUGCAGGUGGGUUCUCCCAUCUGUUUGACAUAGCCUCAGAGGAAGGACGGGCUAAGUUCGUGCCAGCCGCCGCGGUAAAAC
rnacentral:rRNA from 1 species